CACGUUAAAACUUACUGGACCAACCAACUACCUCCGUGACGCCGUCCCAAGCCUCAUUUUUUUCAUUUUGGUCUCUGUAACCGAAAAGUGACACAUUGUGAAGGACUGAGUGGGCGCGAACGCAAGUCGAUGAGACGGCGGCGGCGUGCUGCUGCUGUCGGGUCUGUUUGCGGAGACUUUGUGUUGGCUGUGAAGAGACGAGGCCUCUGGACUGAUCAGCCUCUGCGGGGGUCUAAUCAGGGAGGACUGAUCGAUCGAGGAUGAUUGACAGGGAGCAUCUGGUGUUGACGUCCAUCUCUGUGUUGUGAAACCUAUUUUUAGAUUAAUGUUUUCUACAGGAAACUCCUCCGUCUGACAGAAGGUCCAGUCAGGAAAAACCUGUGUUCCUCACACACGCCCUGGACGUCUGAGCAAACCAGUCACCUGAUGGAUGUUCGACCUGUUGUCCCUACCAAGUCCUCAAAUACCGCUGUUGUGUUAGUGGACCUCGGUGUCAGAAGCUGACACACAAGGCACCCUUCUUGGCGGUAGGACACAAUGGGCGACUGUGGGGGGAAACUGGAGCACCCAGAGUAAAUCACCGCUGACACAAGGAGAACAUGCAAACUCUGCAGAGAAGGCUCCUCUACCACAAGGUUUGAACCCCCAACCCCAGGUUCGAAUUCUCUUACUGUGAGGUGUCAACGCUAACCGCUGCACUGCUAACCACUCUACCACCGUGCCACCUAGCAUGCUACGCUAAUGACGUACAUCAUGACAUAUGUCACGUGACCUGACAUUAUGUUAGUAACAAAAGGUUUUGUUUUUUUUUUCACUGUGACCUCGUCACAUGUCCACGUGGCGUCCAAGGUACCCUGGGUGUGUUGGUUGUUGACGUUCUGGGACGCCGUGUCAACUUCAGCCUGUUACAUGCAUUGUCUGUUUUCAAAAUACACUUCUGUUUUCACAGGAAAUGUACAGUUUGAUACAGUCUCUUUCAAAAUAAAAGCACUACGUCAGU